AUGAGGCAGUUUUUGAGUAACCAUAGAGUUUUCCGUUCUCGUGGAAGCCCACGCCUUGGUGCAGUAAGGAUCUUUUUUUUUUUUUUUUUUUUAAGCAACUACCGAUGGAGUCCCAGGGAACAUCUGGGGGCGACACCCCGGAGCGGCCGAUCGCAGACCGCGCAGGACCGGCUCCCCGCCUGCGGGGGGCGCCGAGGGCCCUGCUCGCGUGCGCACGCGCACAGCCGCCCGCUCAGCCUCCGCGCACAGGCGCGCUCACGCCCAUCGCGGACGUGCGGACGCGGACGUUUGCUGGCGUCUGCAGCCCGGCGCCCCUCCNGCGCGCGGCUCCUCGGGGCCAGCCUGUGGCCUUCGCCGGGUCUCCGGGCCUCGGCACCCCGGGGCUGCGCCUCCCCGGAGCAGCUGGCGAACGUCCCUCGGCGUGAUCGCCGCGCGCCCGACCCCCCGACCUCCCGUGGCUCCCGGAGCUCAGCUGCAGAGCUGCAGCCUCCCUCCCCGCGCCCUUGCCCAGCCCCGCCCGCCCGCGGCUCCUCGGGGCCAGCCUGUGGCCUUCGCCGGGUCUCCGGGCCUCGGCACCCCGGGGCUGCGCCUCCCCGGAGCAGCUGGCGAACGUCCCUCGGCGUGAUCGCCGCGCGCCCGACCCCCCGACCUCCCGUGGCUCCCGGAGCUCAGCUGCAGAGCUGCAGCCUCCCUCCCCGCGCCCUUGCCCAGCCCCGCCCGCCGGGCUCCUGCCUGCCUGCCUGCCCCGAAAGAGGGAGCCAGACUAACCUAGACGCCCCCUGCCUCAGUUUCCCCAUUUAUGGAAGCCGGCUCUUGUCUGGAACUGUGCUGGCCACAGGCUCCCCAGCACUUGGGAGCCCCGGAGCCACCGCCUACUUUAUUCACCACGCUGUACCCGCGACGCCGCAGCACCACCCGGGACCUGCAAGCUGUUGCGUGAACGGACGGCGGAAGGGAGCAGGCCCGGGCGUGGGGAGCUCGGCCGCUUCACCGCAGUCAGGGCCGGGCGGACGGUGGCUGACCCCGCGGCCGCCCCGCCGCAGGGAGGGACCAGCUCAGGCCCGGGAGCCGCGGCCGCGCCGCCAAGGUCGCCCCGAGGGCGCGGACGGCGAG
rnacentral:lncRNA from 1 species